CUGGUGAUACUGGAGAAACUGAAGUACUCUAUUUAUCCACUGGCUAGGUAUGCUGUAAGCUCCUCCAGUGACCUCUACCUGCCCUUGAGGGACUGCCCUCUCCUGAGAUGAUAGGUAAUUCAGUUUUCAUGCUACCCCAGUCCAGGGCUCAC
rnacentral:sRNA from 1 species